AACGAACGCUGGCGGCAUGCCUAACACAUGCAAGUCGAACGAGACCUUCGGGUCUAGUGUCGCACGGGUGCGUAACGCGUGGGAACCUGCCCUUAUGUUCGGAAUAACUCCCCGAAAGAGGUGCUAAUACCGGAUAAUGUCUCCGGACCAAAGAUUUAUCGCCUUUGGAUGGGCCCGCGUUGGAUUAGCUAGUUGGUAGGGUAAAAGCCUACCAAGGCGACGAUCCAUAGCUGGUCUGAGAGGAUGAUCAGCCACACUGGGACUGAGACACGGCCCAGACUCCUACGGGAGGCAGCAGUGGGGAAUAUUGGACAAUGGGCGAAAGCCUGAUCCAGCAAUGCCGCGUGAGUGAUGAAGGCCUUAGGGUUGUAAAGCUCUUUUACCCGGGAUGAUAAUGACAGUACCGGGAGAAUAAGCUCCGGCUAACUCCGUG
rnacentral:rRNA from 1 species